rnacentral:rRNA from 1 species
UGCCUACGGGGGGCAGCAGUCGGGAAUAUUGCGCAAUGGAGGAAACUCUGACGCAGUGACGCCGCGUGCAGGAAGAAGGUUUUCGGAUUGUAAACUGCUUUAGACAGGGAAGAAAAAAGACAGUACCUGUAGAAUAAGCUCCGGCUAACUACGUGCCAGCAGCCGCGGUAAUACGUAGGGAGCAAGCGUUAUCCGGAUUUAUUGGGUUUAAAGGGUGCGUAGGCGGUUUUAUAAGUUAGAGGUGAAAAUUCGGGGCUCAACUCCGGACGUGCCUCUAAUACUGUAUGACUAGAGAAUAGAUGCGG